rnacentral:lncRNA from 1 species
GCUGGGUGUAGAGUGAGGAGUAGGUUUCUCACAGUUCUGCAGCCAACAGCCUGGGCUCUUCCGUUCGCCCCAGCACAGAGCUGCACACGGACGCUGCUCAUCCUCGGGCCAAGGACAAAGCCAAGCACGGAGAGCAAACCUUUUGGUCCGGCCUCAACCUGCGCACAGGAGGACGGACUGGGGUCCAAGGAGACAGAGCCGCGCAUGGAGGUCCCGGACAUCACUGAGGCUGCAAACAAUGCCAUUUUGAUUGUUGCUGUUCAUCAGAGCAGUGCUUCCUGUUACGUUGGGCAUCCAGGCCCAGCUCGGAUGUUGGAUCCGGAGCACAGCCUUCCUGGGAAAGCCGACCAUGGACUGAACCCUCUGAGACCACUGGAGCAGCCAACCAUGAACUGAACCCUCUGAGACCAUUGGAGCAGCCGACCAUGGACUGAACCCUCUGAGACCCAGCUCUGGGGUCCUCUUUCCUGAGGGCAUCACCAGGUGUGGUCACAAACACGGUGACUGCUCUGCCGGGCGCCGUCCAGGGGAAAGGCAGCUCGGAAACACACGGCCCUGUGUCCUCCUCCACCCGAGUCACCGCAGCUGGCACCGUGCGACUCCUGGCUCCCCCCCAAGGUCAGGAUGACCGGGAAAGGUCACCGUUUUGAGUCCACUCGGGACAUCGAAGCAGCCGGGAUGGUGCAGCUAAAGACCCCCAGGAAGGAGGACUCCAGAGCUGCUGCGGACAGCGGCCAGGACGGCGGGAGGAGGGUGUGCACAGCCAGGGGGGAUUCUGAGGGGAUUCAUGGCCAUGUGGCUUUUUACUGGAGUACAUUUUUAAAUGAAACACCACUUUUUAGAUCACACCUUAUGCAUUUAUUGAAGUGUCAGGCUGCUCCCCAUAAUAUGUGCAAACAAAUAAAAGAAAUAAUGCCAUCUUUCUUGGACAGCGUGAGGAAGUUGCAUGUGGGCCCCUCUUUUUCUGCACGGAUCUUGGACAUUGGUUGAGGCCCAUUCAUAUGGACCGCAGAGUAUGAUGGGAAAUUUGUGGAGUUGAUUGAUCAAUGGUCACCUCAUGUCCAUCCAAGACUCUUAGACCAUCUGACCCUGCUUAAACAUCAAAAGAGGCACUAACACCUACUAAGCUGAAUCCCGUGCCAGGGGAUGUGGAGCUAGCUGAUGUGACUUUCAGGCCAGCAGAUGUACGAACAAAGGUAAGCCUAUGUAAAGUCACCAAACAAUGCAGCAAGUACGAAUCCUACCACAGCAGAUUGUAGGAU